AUACUCUGGUUUCCUUUCAGAUAGUAUCAGUUUUUCACCUUUUACUAAAUAUUUCUGUAGAGAAGAACAAUUUUUAGUAUUAACGCAAUUUUUUGAGGCCCUGAGUUUACUGUCU